rnacentral:rRNA from 1 species
CAGUAGCCGCGGUAAUGCGUAGGGUGCGAGCGUUAAUCGGAAUUACUGGGCGUAAAGCGUGCGCAGGCGGUUGUGUAAGACGGGUGUGAAAUCCCCGGGCUUAACCUGGGAACUGCGCUUGUGUCUGCACAGCUAGAGUAUGGCAGAGGGGGGUGGAAUUCCACGUGUAGCAGUGAAAUGCGUAGAGAUAUGGAGGAACACCGAUGGCGAAGGCAGCCCCCUGGGCCAAUACUGACGCUCAUGCACGAAAGCGUGGGGAGCAAACAGGAUUAGAUACCCCCGUAGUCCCUGUCUCUUAUAC